rnacentral:sRNA from 1 species
ACUGCGGUUCUGAGCGCGCCAUCCGCGCCCACCUGACAGCUGCUCGCGACGUUUUGUCAGCC